rnacentral:rRNA from 1 species
UACGAAGGGUGCAAGCGUUACUCGGAAUUACUGGGCGUAAAGAGCGCGCAGGCGGUCGUUCAAGUCGCGUGUGAAAGCCCCCGGCUCAACUGGGGAGGGUCACGCGAUACUGAUCGACUCGAAGGCAGGAGAGGGUAGUGGAAUUCCCGGUGUAGUGGUGAAAUGCGUAGAUAUCGGGAGGAACACCAGUGGCGAAGGCGACUACCUGGCCUGUUCUUGACGCUGAGGCGCGAAAGCUAGGGGAGCAAACGGG